rnacentral:rRNA from 1 species
GCAAGUCGAGCGAGAAAGCACUUCGGUGCGAGUACAGCGGCGGACGGGUGAGUAACGCGUAGGAAUCUACCCAGUAGUGGGGGACAACAUGGUGAAAACCAUGCUAAUACCGCAUACGCCCCAAGGGGGAAAGCGGGGGAUCUUCGGACCUCGCGCUAUCGGAUGAGCCUGCGUUGGAUUAGCUAGUUGGUGGGGUAAAGGCCUACCAAGGCAACGAUCCAUAGCUGUUCUGAGAGGAAGAUC